rnacentral:rRNA from 1 species
GUGGGGAAUUUUGGACAAUGGGGGAAACCCUGAUCCAGCGACGCCGCGUGAAGGAUGAAGGCCUUCGGGUUGUAAACUUCUUUUGGAGGGGACGAAUAAAUUGACGGUACCCUCAGAAAAAGCCACGGCUAACUACGUGCCAGCAGCCGCGGUAAUACGUAGGUGGCGAGCGUUACUCGGAAUUACUAGGCGUAAAGCGUAUGUAGGCGGUUUUAUAAGUCUAUGGUGAAAUUUCCUGGCUCUACUGGGAAGGGACAUAGAUACUGUAUGGCUUGAGUGUUGGAGGGGGAGACGGAAUUCCUGGUGUAGCGGUGAAAUGCGUAGAUAUCAGGAGGAACACCGAUGGCGAAAGCAGUCUCCUGGCCAAAUACUGACGCUGAGGUACGAAAGCUAGGGUAGCAAACAGGAUUAGAAACCCCGGUAGUCC